rnacentral:misc_RNA from 1 species
AGGGCUUCUUCCUAUGUCAACGCUACGCUUGAGCUAACCGAUGUUAGCAUUUUCUCUGAUUUAAUUCCAUUGAUUGAGGAUUUGGCUAGGGGCUCUAUUACUUUUGAUACUGUUACUCAAAUUGGUGGUGAGCUUGGCUUGGUCCUCUUUGAUAUUCCCAUAAAGGGAAAAGUGGUGUGUGAAAUUGUUGUGGACACACGCAAUGAAACGAUUUCUCAUCAGAACUGCUACCCUGAGUGACUUGGUUUGUGAUGGAAUUGUGAACUAAUGGAAAUGCAUAAGAGGGCAAGUAUCCAAACUCUGCUCGAGGCCUUGUAAAUGCUCUAUGGUCUUUAUGGAAUUGGUGUGCAUUUGAUUACGUCUCGAGGGUUUCGAUUAUCCCAAGUUUUAGUAAACUGCAUAUUGGGCUCCCCAUUAUUGUAAUUAUCAAGGCUUUUCGUGUUUGUGGGGAACAACAUUCACACGUCUGUAAUACAGUAGCAUGUACCAUUUGUUCUAGGAAAACCAUUCCAAUAUACUCUCUG